rfam:Salmo salar isolate Sally breed double haploid chromosome ssa19, whole genome shotgun sequence.
UGUAUUCACUACUGUAAGUCGCUCUGUAUAAGAGCGUCUGCUAAAUGACUAAAA